rnacentral:rRNA from 1 species
AUUGAACGCUGGCGGCAGGCCUAACACAUGCAAGUCGAGCGGUAGCACAGAGAGCUUGCUCUCGGGUGACGAGCGGCGGACGGGUGAGUAAUGUCUGGGAAACUGCCUGAUGGAGGGGGAUAACUACUGGAAACGGUAGCUAAUACCGCAUAACGUCGCAAGACCAAAGUGGGGGACCUUCGGGCCUCAUGCCAUCAGAUGUGCCCAGAUGGGAUUAGCUGGUAGGUGGGGUAACGGCUCACCUAGGCGACGAUCCCUAGCUGGUCUGAGAGGAUGACCAGCCACACUGGACCUGAGACACGGUCCAGACUCCUACGGGAGGCAGCAGUGGGGAAUAUUGCACAAUGGGCGCAAGCCUGAUGCAGCCAUGCCGCGUGUGUGAAGAAGGCCUUCGGGUUGUAAAGCACUUUCAGCGGGGAGGAAGGCAUUAAGGUUAAUAACCUUAGUGAUUGACGUUACCCGCAGAAGAAGCACCGGCUAACUCCGUGCCAGCAGCCGCCGCAGUAA